GCGGGCGUAGUGUAGACUGGUUAUCACUUAAGCUUGCCAAGCUUAAAACUCGGGUUCAAAUCCCGACGCCCGCACCA
rnacentral:tRNA from 1 species